AGUUAGGGGAGCUUUAACUCCAUCCCAAAGGGAGGCAGACGGCUCCGAGUGUUUGCUUGUGGCAGGGGUGUCGGGGGGGAGAUCCUAGCAGUGGGGUCAUGACAAGUUUCCUCCAGGAAGCCAUGUUUGGCCUGAACGCUGAAGGAGGCAUAGGAAUUGUCUAGAUAGCAGCGGGGGCUGGAAAGAUACCAGGUACAGGGAACAGCACGUGUGAAUGUCUGAGGCAGGGGCCAGAAGGGGAGCCCAUGUGGUUGGACCGAAACCAGUGGGAAAAGGCGCACAGUGAGGACACAAGGCCUGGAUUUUACUUCCCCUCAACACGAUGCAAACAUGUAUCUUGGCACCAACCUCAACGUGAUUGGGGACCACGGAGCCUUUCUGUUGUCUUCGCCCUGACAGGACUGAGAGGACACCUGGGAUGUUGCUCACGGAGGUUGCCGUGAGAAGGACGAGGGGUGCCUGGGGUUUGGGGAGUCGUAGAGACAAAUCAGCUAAGUCUUCGUCUCCAAAGGCUCCUGGUUAAGUUCCAGUAUGUUGGCAGAGAGUAUGACCCAGUCAUCCAUUAGCACUUCAAAAUGGGCUAAUUGAUCAUAGUUCCAGCAAUAAAACAGAAGGGAAAAGGAUCAGAGAGCAAAUCUGGCCACGUGACGUCCACGACUGUGUGUGGAAGAUAGAAAAGAAACGGAGUGCAGCGCCCCGCUCUGCCACGCACCAGCUCCAUAACAUAAGUCCGGCCCUCCCUGCCCCGGGUGUCCUCCCCC